rnacentral:rRNA from 1 species
UCAGACGAUGCGUCAUGCAUAUCAAUAAGCGGAGGAAAAGAAACUAACAAGGAUUCCCCUAGUAACGGCGAGUGAAGCGGGAAGAGCUCAAAUUUGAAAUCUUAAAGGGUUUCCCUUUACGAAUUGUAGUUUAAAGAAGUGUUUUCUGUUGAGGUUUUGGUAAAAGUUCUUUGGAAUAGGACAUCAUAGAGGGUGAGAAUCCCGUAUUUGACCUUUACUUUCAACUUUGUGAUACACUUUCAAAGAGUCGGAUUGUUUGGGAAUGCAGUCCAAAAUGGGUGGUAAAUUUCAUCUAAAGCUAAAUGUUGGCGAGAGACCGAUAGCGAACAAGUACCGUGAGGGAAAGAUGAAAAGAACUUUGAAAAGAGAGUUAAACAGUACGUGAAAUUGUCAAAAGGGAAGCGUUUGACACCAGUGUUGUUUUUCUGAGAAUCAAUUAAAGAACUGUUUAUGCUAAGUUGUUUAGACUUUAUCAGCUAACUGUUUAGUUUUGAGCUUUUCUUUAAUGCACUUUUCAGUUAACAAGUCAACAUCAAUUUCUUUUGCUGUAAAAAAGCUUGAGGAAGGUGGCUUGAGAUUCGUCUUAAGUGUUUAUAGCCUCUUGCCUAUGCAGUCGGAGAGAUUGAGGUCUGCAGCGCAGAUCCUUCGGGGCUAAAUGCAUUUGUGCUAAGUUAUAGCAUUUUAUAGACAACUUGUUGACUAUGAUUUGUCUUGUAGCUUACUCGCUUAUGUUAUUUUACCUACGCUUAGGAUGUUGAAUCUGUGCGAGACUAC